rnacentral:lncRNA from 1 species
AAACAUUCAUUUUUUUGGAAUAAAGUAAUCAUCAAUUUGAACUAGUUGUGAAAAGUUACGACUUUUACAUGAAAGAUUGAUUUUCAUAUUGUGGAGAUUUCUCUUUUACUUUUAUAAACUACUUUAAGACAUUAAUGAAAUAAAAUGCCAUUUCAAAAUUUUAAGGAUUUCGUUCUAAGAGGAAACAAUAACAAGAAUUCACUGUUUAUUGAUUCAACUAUUAAGCUUUGUGACAAGUGAUAGUUUAAGAUAAAAUAUAAAGAUAAAGCAAAAAUAACAAUUCAAAUGGGAAGUUUAUUAAGGUUAACCAAAUUUAAGAAUUUAAUAGAACAAAUAAUCAAAUAUGACUUAUACAAACUAAAUAAAGAAAAAAGUUUGGGCCUCUUAUCUGGCCCAUUUUCUAAAAGCUGUCCAGAUUUGGAUUAAUGGAUUUGGGUCCAUUAUCAAUCUGUAUAUCAACUGUAUACUACAUGCUUUCUUCCCGCGUUUUUGUGUAUCUAUGUGUACAUGACCGUGUCAUGUAUACACAUCUGUUUUCCCUUCACCCGCAUAUUAACUUUCCAUUUCUUAUUUUUCUCCCCAUAAUGCGUGUAUACUCAAUGUAUAUUGCUGCAAAUCAGUCUUUUUGGGGACUUAAACAUGGAGUUGAACUCGAAGAAAAUGCAAGAGGGGAGUCCCUUGGACUCAAACCAUGAGGGGUUCAUGCAACAAAAGAGAUGAGAAUUAGUAAGAGAGGUUGAGAGUGAAAACAUUAUCUAAAGUUAACAGACAAAACAAUAGUCCUUUCUUAAAUUGGCUUAAAGUAUCAAUCCGGAAAGCAACAUAAUCAAUUAAACUCUAAAGAGAAAAAAUAUAUGACAACAAGUAAGACAUGUUUAUAACUUAGAUGUUUAUGUUGAAACACAAAGGUAGAACAAAUUAAUCCACAUUCCACAUAAGAUAAAAAAUAUCACAUCUUUAUGAGAAAGUCCAAAUGAAGCCCAAAAUGGAAACAAUAAAUAAGUUGCUAAUAUUACUUCCAUUGUAUUAACCUGAUUAUGACAAAUACAUACAAGAAUUUAUAAUCAUAUGUCAGGAAACAACAACUGGACAUAUUAACGAAACAAAUAAAAUGUACGGAGAGGGGAGGGAGCAUGCCAUUAUUUCUGGGAAGUUGACAGUCACAGAAAACUCAUUCAUGAUUUGAUCAUACAUAUCCUAGACAGGACCAUUUAAGUAUUAUAUUCAUAUGAAAUCUAACACUGAUGGUCGAGAAACGAACAACCACAUGCCGCAAAAUCAAAUAUCUGGGAACUUUAUGGGUCAUCUGGAAGCCUACACGUAUUUAUACACAUACAAACCAGCCUACACAUGUAAUUUAAACACAAAAUAACAUAUUAUAUAGUUCCAACAAUGGGGAAAUUCACACACAGUUGGGAUCCAAGGACAAACUUUUAUAACUCCAAUUGUCAACUCAUUAUCUUUUCAAAAGCACAUUCAAUGAACUUUCAGGAAAAAGAAAAAAAAGACAGACAAUCUGUAAUACGCUUGCACAAGAACAUAUAUUCAUAGCAGAAUUAUGCACACAAUAAAAAUACCUUAACUUCUUAGUCCUGGUUUCAAAUUUUUUCCAGUUAGAUGAACAAUAACAAUGUCACUCUUAAUAAGGCUAAACUAAGAUAGAUUUCAAACCAACAAACAACUGAUAUAUCGAUAACAUCAUUCAAACACAAAUUCCUAUCGCCUUCAAGGCGUCUAUAACAAAUAGUAUCAUUCUUAAUUUUAACAAAAAUUGCUGCUAACGAAAAGAAGGGGACGAAGGAAAAUCGACAUAUUAACUAGAGAGUGAGUUUACCUUUUUUAGGGCAGUAAACUGAAAUUUAUGAGCUCUUCAUCAGAUUAUUCCUUCACACCACUGAAAAACGAACUCAAUUUCUUAUCUUAGAAUUUUGAGCUCAAAUGAUUCUUAUUAAAUUUAUCAGCACUGAAAUCUUCGGUCUUAGCAAAAUUUCAUGCUUUUUGACCUCUCCAACCUUUUUCUUCAAUGAGAAUAGUAGAGUAUUUAUUUAUACAGAUAUUUGGAAUGGGAUUUCAAAGAAAACAACAAUGUGGGAUAAGGGACUUUGAGGGACGUUUUUGGUAGUUUCAAAAGGGAAAAUUCAAAUUUCGAAUUAGGGAUAAGCUUGUGACAUGUAUUUGGUAAGAGAUCGUACCACCCCUUCCUUGAAUCGGAUUGAAGGGCGACCUGGAUGUUUCUAGGACGUUGUACGUGCUAUCCACGUGAGAAUCACGUGAUACUUAGAGAGAGAAGAUUAAUUAGAUACGAGAACAGGAAUUUUAGGUUAGGAUUCAAAAGAUGAAUCCCAGAUAUUGAAGCCGCUGAUGUUGUUGUCGUUUAUGCAUUUGUUUUUGUCUGAUGAAGUUGCUGGCUAUUGGACGUUGUUUGACUAUUGAUGGUAAUUUGGUAUCGGGUUUGCCGUUGUUGAAGUUGUUUUGUCGGGUAAAAAAGGAAAGGAAUCAGAGUUGGGUCGGGUUGGUGUGGUGGUUUUUACUGAAACAAAUGGGCAUGGGGU